rnacentral:lncRNA from 1 species
GAUGAUGCGGCUUUCAAAUCGACGAUCGGCUCCAUUAGACUUGAUCUACACUAUUGAAAGUAUUUAAAAACUAAAUUUCAUAAUUUUUCGAUAUCAUUUACCUAUCAAACAAGUAGUCUAAAAUUGAACGGCUGAAAAUAAAAAUCUCAUGAAAAAUGAUGAUAAAAGAUUUAAAUUUAAGAUCAGAUAUACUGAUCUUACUCUAAAUAGUGAAAAGAAUUUUCUAUAAAAUUUUCAUCGCAUUUGGAUUUUUUUACACCGUUAAACUCACAAACACACCACAUCGGCCAUUAAAAUUAUCAAUUUUGAGAUCUUUUGAUCACUAGUCAAAUGAUGUCGAAAAAAUCUGAAAUUUAGUUUCCAAAUACUUUCAAUAAUGUAGAUCAAGUCUAACGGAGCCGAUCGUCGAUUUGGAAGCCGCAUCAUCGAAAACAACUUGGUAGCACGGAGCGCUCCGUGCUACCGAUAGCAUAGUAGCCGGACUAUAUAUAUAU